UACAGAGGUCUCAAGCGUUGUUCGGAUUCAUUGGGCGUAAAGGGUGCGUAGGUGGCGCGCUAAGUCAGGUGUGAAAUUUCGGAGCUUAACUCCGAAACUGCAUUUGAUACUGGCGUGCUUGAGGACUGGAGAGGAGACUGGAAUUCAUGGUGUAGCAGUGAAAUGCGUAGAGAUCAUGAGGAAGACCAGUGGCGAAGGCGGGUCUCUGGGCUGAUACUGACGCUGAGGAGCGAAAGCGUGGGGAGCGAACAGG
rnacentral:rRNA from 1 species